rfam:Clostridium pasteurianum DSM 525 = ATCC 6013, complete genome.
GGCCUGGUAGCUCAGCUGGUUAGAGUGCUGGCCUGUCACGCCAGAGGUCGAGGGUUCGAUCCCCUUCCAGGUCG